rnacentral:lncRNA from 1 species
GCAGCAGGUUAUUAUCUGAGAUAAAUAUUUUCUCAGAUUACAUCAGCCCAAGACCAACUUGCCUCUUUAGUAUUAUCUGCUAAUCAGCUUAAUCCAAAAUUACUUACAAGCUUGAUGCUCACCUCGAUUUGUUUUCGAUCUCCAUCAUCUUACUUCAAUUGUUGGCCUACUUGAUUAUUGACACCAAAGGCAUAACGCCCAGUCUAGAUAGUUACUGAUGUCAGCUAUUUCACAUCAGUCUAUUACCGACGUGCCACCAUAUCUACAAACGAUUAUCUAAUAGCUAUCAUCCAGCU